rnacentral:rRNA from 1 species
GACGAACGCUGGCGGCGUGCUUAACACAUGCAAGUCGAACGGAAAGGCCCUGCUUUUGUGGGGUGCUCGAGUGGCGAACGGGUGAGUAACACGUGAGUAACCUGCCCUUGACUUUGGGAUAACUUCAGGAAACGGGGGCUAAUACCGGAUAGGAUCUCCUGCUGCAGGGUGGGGGUGGGAAAGUUUCGGCGGUUGGGGAUGGACUCGCGGCUUAUCAGCUUGUUGGUGGGGUAGUGGCUUACCAAGGCUUUGACGGGUAGCCGGCCUGAGAGGGUGACCGGCCACAUGGGGCCUGAGAUACGGCCCAGACUCCUACGGGAGGCAGCAGUGGGGAAUAUUGCCCAAUGGGCGGAAGCCUGAUGCAGCAACGCCGCGUGCGGGAUGACGGCCUUCGGGUUGUAAACCGCUUUCGCCUGUGACGAAGCGUGAGUGACGGUAAUGGGUAAAGAAGCACCGGCUAACUACGUG